GCCCAGUUUGCUGGUGUCAACGGCGAGGUGGCAGUCCCAGCCCCUUGUGGGGUCCAGAUUUUGGAGUACCCUGCACCAUGCCAAGUCCAAGUUUCCCAGACUCCCUGCCAGUCCAUGACCACCCAGAUGGAGUGCCAGGCUCCGUGCAAGUCUAAGACCACCCAGGCAGACCAGCCUGGCCACCAGGCACAUCUCGAGUAUUUCUCAGGACGUCCCUUAGAAGUCCUUGUCUCCACGCCUGUGCCCACUCUCUCUUCCGCUGCCUGGGCCAUUUCUCUCCUACUACCCUGCAUCUGAAAUCCAGUUACCUUUCAAUGCCUCUUCCUUGCAGCCUUCUUUGCCUGUUUGUACUCACAGCAGCCUGUGCUGACUUCUAAGCUCAUGGCUUCAGUCACCCCAUUGAGGAGGCCACCACUUGCAACAUCUCUUGGAGCAGCCAACUUUAUCAAGGCUUGGGGUUCGGCAGCUUGAGCCAUGGUCUGUCCUGAUGGGCCAUUGCAGCAACUGGGGUGGGAGGAGCCCACAUAACAAUAAAGAUCGGGAUGCACUCACAGCCUGGGUCCUGAGCAGCUUUGUACUUCUUCCUGACUGAUGAUGAUGUUUAUUUUCAAUUGCGAUAAA
rnacentral:lncRNA from 1 species